rnacentral:rRNA from 1 species
UCGAGAAUCUUUCGCAAUGGGCGCAAGCCUGACGAAGCGACGCCGUGUGAGCGAAGAAGGCCUUCGGGUUGUAAAGCUCUUUCGCUAGGGAACAAGAAAGACGUGAUAAUACCACGUUAAUUUGAUGGUACUUGGUAAAGAAGCACCGGCUAACUCCGUGCCAGCAGCUGCGGUAAUACGGAGGGUGCAAGCAUUGAUCGGAAUUACUGGGCGUAAAGGGCGCGUAGGCGGCUGAGAAAGUCAGAUGUGAAAUUCCGGGGCUCAACCCCGGAGCUGCAUUUGAAACUUCUUAGCUUGAGUUCAGUUAGGGAAAAUGGAAUUCCACGUGUAGCGGUGAAAUGCGUAGAUAUGUGGAAGAACACCGGUGGUGAAGACGAUUUUCUGAGCUGAAACUGACGCUGAGGCGCGAAAGCUAGGGGAGCAAACAGG